AGAAUCAACGCUGGCGGCGUGCCUAACACAUGCAAGUCGAACGAGAAAGGGUAGCAAUACCUGAGUAAAGUGGCGCACGGGUGAGUAACACGUGACUAACCUACCUUUUAGUGGGGGAUAACCUAGGGAAACCUGGGCUAAUACCGCAUAAUACCUACGGGUCAAAGCAGCAAUGCGCUGAAUGAGGGGGUCGCGGUCGAUUAGUUAGUUGGCGGGGUAAUGGCCCACCAAGACUAUGAUCGGUA
rnacentral:rRNA from 1 species